rnacentral:hammerhead_ribozyme from 1 species
AUCCAACUGACGAGUCCCAAAAUAGGACGAAACGCGCGUUUUGGAU